UACGAAGGGGGCUAGCGUUGCUCGGAAUCACUGGGCGUAAAGCGCACGUAGGCGGCUUGUUAAGUCAGGGGUGAAAUCCUGGAGCUCAACUCCAGAACUGCCUUUGAUACUGGCGAGCUCGAGUCCGGGAGAGGUGAGUGGAACUGCGAGUGUAGAGGUGAAAUUCGUAGAUAUUCGCAAGAACACCAGUGGCGAAGGCGGCUCACUGGCCCGGUACUGACGCUGAGGUGCGAAAGCGCGGGGAGCGAACAGG
rnacentral:rRNA from 1 species